UUCCAGGCACAAGCAGAUGGUGAUCAAUCCACACAUUCCAUAAUCCCAGCAAUAAAAGAUACUGUGGGUUCGAUUUAUAGUCCAUCAUACCCAGGACUACAGUUCCCUUGAUGUCUAACCACAUAAAUUUUCAAACAGUUAUCAAAAUGGACCAGAGGUUGUUACUGAGAGUCAUCAUCGCUGAAGAUGAUAUAAGGAAGUUGACUUUAAAUAAGAGACCACAGUCCAUUGAAGAAUUCAAAGUGCA